AACGAACGCUGGCGGCAUGCCUAACACAUGCAAGUCGAACGAGACCUUCGGGUCUAGUGGCGCACGGGUGCGUAACGCGUGGGAACCUGCCCUUAGGUUCGGAAUAACUCCCCGAAAGGGGUGCUAAUACCGGAUAAUGUCUUCGGACCAAAGAUUUAUCGCCUUUGGAUGGGCCCGCGUUGGAUUAGCUAGUUGGUAGGGUAAAAGCCUACCAAGGCGACGAUCCAUAGCUGGUCUGAGAGGAUGAUCAGCCACACUGGGACUGAGACACGGCCCAGACUCCUACGGGAGGUAGCAGUGGGGAAUAUUGGACAAUGGGCGAAAGCCUGGUCCAGCAAUGCCGCGUGAGGGAUGAAGGCCUUAGGGUUGUAAAGCUCUUUUACCCGGGAUGAUAAUGACAGUACCGGGAGAAUAAGCUCCGGCUAACUCCGUG
rnacentral:rRNA from 1 species